AAUGAACGCUGGCGGCGUGCCUAACACAUGCAAGUCGAACGAGAAAGUUUCUUCGGAAAUGAGUACAGUGGCGGACGGGUGAGUAACGCGUGAGAAUUUUCCUUUCAGUGAAGGAUACCUUCGGGAAACCGGAGUUAAUACUGCAUAAGUCCCUUCGGGGAGAAAGGUGGCCUCUUUGCUACCGCUGAAAGAUAAGCUUGCGUACUAUUAGCUAGUUGGUGAGGUAAUUGCUCACCAAGGCGAUGAUGGUUAACCGGCCUGAGAGGGUGGUCGGUCACAUUGGAACUGAGAUACGGUCCAGACACCUACGGGUGGCUG
rnacentral:rRNA from 1 species